UGGAGCCAGUGGCUGCAUACGGUCUUUGAGCGCGACAGAAAUCUCGAGGCAUUUAACUUUUUCAUUUUUUCCUUCUUCGAUGGCGUUCAAAGUUCAGAAGUCGUUGGCUCGUUGCAGAACCGGAAACAACAUGAAACCGCACGGAACCAAUAUUCAUCUCAGCACACCCCGCCUCCAACGGGCCUCCGCCUAAUAAUCCACUACUCCGAGGCAUCCCUGCACUCGCUGCACUCACGCACAUGUAUGCAUGCAGACGUGCACGGACACCGAAGGUUUUCUGGGCUUGGUUUAGACGUUUGUGGCCAACAUUUCGAAAACCACACUCUACACGUUGUUCUGCAACUUGCCUUGUUCACUUGACAACGUCACCGACAUCCCUCGGUAUGACUUCGUGAUUGCGGCCCAACCGACCGAUUCAGUGGGGGUUACCAAACGACAGCCAGCCAGCCAGCCAGCCAGCCACCUGUCUUUGCAAAAACAAAAAGUUUUAUUCCAGCACAGCCACACCCAUUCGUUUCCCCUACUGUCGACGGCUGCUCUUGUCCCGCAACCCAAAAAUAAGAAAUCUUUGAGAAUUUCUCUCAGUCCCGGAUGCAGUUAAAUCAGUUGUGCUGAUAAUGCAGAUAGCACGAAGUCUACUCCCCCACCCUCACCGAAAAUCAUUAGAGAGAACCAGAAGCCCUGAGGCAAACAGGUGCAGCAAAAGGAGGCUUCUCCCAGCAGUUUCCAGGGAGAUUUUCCAGAGAUCCAGGAAGAACUGUGAGGAAGUCUCACUACCAACGGCCACCCAGCAGUGGGGCAGCUCGGGAUUUUCCUUGGCAACCUUGAUGUCAUCUGUAUCUUAGAAGGGGCUCUGUCCAUCCAGCGUGGCGGCAGAGGGCUGGUAGGCUGGGACAAUGGCCAAGCGUGGCAUCCCAUGCGUAUGUCUAGAGAGGACUAGUGUUCUUGAUAUUGACAUUUGUAGGUCCUGUUCAAGGGGCUCUGGGCUGAUGACCCCCACAAUGGCGUAUCUGACUGAGGCCCUGUCCCCGCAAUCUACCAGGAAUACAUGUUGUUGGCUCCUUGCAGAGGCACACACAACUUAGGAGUAUCCUAAAUGCAAGCUGACUGCCCUGCUAGAAAGAAGGUGAAGGAGCUUAGAACAUACCUCUUUACCUUCUAGUUUAUUAAGAGGUUUGAAGUUUCCCAGGCGGGAGCUAACACCACAAGAAGAAGAAUCUUCCAGAUUGGCCACGGUAUACAGUACAGUUAGAUCUGCUGUACAACCAAAUAUAUGCCAUGGUGAGACUCUCA